CCCACUCUGCCUCCCACGCCGCUCAUGCGCCUCCAUCACCACGGCCACGGAGCUAGAAGCGCCGCAGAUCGACGGCACAGCGUCGCCAAGAGUUCCUCCCCACUUCCCUCUGCCGAUCCCGGUCACCAGACUGUCGGAGCUCCUGUAAUGCAGCAAUGGAAGGUAAACUCGAGGAGAAUGCGACUAGGAUGGAGCUCCAGCCACAGCCUCCAGCGCUUGCACUGGGCCAUCCCUCAAAGGCUGCAGAGUCUGUAGCCGAUGUUGCCUCCGCUGCCUGCAAGGUGUUCGGCAAAAUGUUCAGCCUCUAACACUGCAAGCUGGACUGAAACUCACAUUUGGAGAUGGCAUCAUUUCCCCUAGAGGUGAAUUAAUCCAGAGCAUGCUAAACGGCUCAAAUUUGACGGAUCAUAACUCGUAAGGAGCGCCAACGGCCCGCCAGUUUUCUAGUCUAACACUCGAAAGGCGUAACACCCUGACAAUAUCUCAAAGUGUGGUGUGCCCGCCUUUUCUUUUUCUGCUUUAUUUUUUUAAAAA